rfam:Ovis aries breed Texel chromosome 3, whole genome shotgun sequence.
UCCUGGGUAGCUCAGCUGGUAAAGAAUCUGCCUGCAAUGCAGAAGACUCCAGUUAAAUUCCUGGGUCAGGAA